CUAAGGGAUGCUAUGUGGAUAAUUAUGUCUUAAAUAUACUAUAUAUACAAUAAUACAUUUGUGAUUGUAAUUUUCUAUUGACUUGAUUUGUAUUUAAAGCAGUAAAAAGUGGUUGUACUGUAUUUCAUUUCUUUAGAUAGAUUCUGAGCAUUAAGCAUUUACAAUCUUUGUAAUCAUUCUAAGCAGCCAUCUUUCUUCAUAACUUUUUUAAUAGAAAUCUUUUCGACACCUCUAGAAAUCUCAACUGUGGCGUUUGGCAUCUUGUUCCUACCCCACUUACGAUGUGUUUUUACACGUAUUACCUGUGGUGUGCAUCAGGAGUGGAGCGGUACAUAUAUUCGUAUUGAACCAAUUUGGUACAAGGGUCACGGUUUUGGUGCACGCAUUUACACAGAAAAUACACUGCAAAGCGGAACUAUUGUUAGAUACGCAUGUUCUUUGGGGACACAUAAUAUGUGACGCGCGUCCUAUUCGCUUUGGACUAAUGUCAAACUAGACGCAAAUUUUAAGCAUUUCUUUGUUUGCGUUGAUUACAAUGCUGGAGUGUGUGUGUGCUCGCACGCGCGGUAGAGAGAGAAAGAUAUAGUGUGUUCACUGUAGCACAAGAGAGAUCGAGACAGAGAAGCAAUUUGUCCUCGAGUGUCACAAAUACAAAAUUCCCACCUUAGUGCAGUGUGUCAAGGAACUAAUAUCCUCAAUGAACAGAGGGAUGGAUACAGCAAGCACAAGCUCAGGGUCCUCCAGCUCAGCCCAAGAGAUGACACUGUCAUAUCUGAGUUUCCGGGCACGUCACAGUCCGAGGUUAGAGCCGUAAUACGGCGAAAGUGCAAUAACGAAAGUUUUGUUUCAAAAAAAAACACUGUAAAGGUAAUUUUUUGUUGUUGUUGGGAAAGGAAUGUGAAAGUAAAGAAGAAAUUUGUGUUUUGUUCAUAUAAGAUACGUACAGUAAUCUGUAGUUUAAUCAUUUUAUUAAAGGGUUAGUUCACCCAAAAAUCGAAAAGUUCUUUGUAUUUAGUCACCCGCGUGUUGUUCUAAACCCUUAAGACUUCCAUUAACCAUCGCAUCACAAAAUAUUAUAUUUAUGAUGGAAUCUGAGCGCUGGAUAAGUCUUCCAUUGACUUCCAAGGGGCUUAAACUUGCUCGAUCAGAAAUCGUAUUAAGACAUUGUUUGAAAUUGUCUAAGUGACUCCAGUGGCUCAACCAUCCAUUUAUCAAGCGACGAGAAUAGUUUUUUUGUGCCAAAAACAAACAAAAAUAACGAAUUUAUUCCAAUAUCCAUUUACUCGUGUUGUGCUUGAAAGUUGUUUACGUAGUGUAUCUGCGCGAGCUUCUGGGUUCUACGUCACCAGGCGUCACACACAUGACCUGCGUUGGCCAAUAGUGAGCCUGUGUGGUGACGUAGAACCCAGAAGCGCUGCGCAGAUAGACUACGUAAACAACUUUGAAGCACAACACUAGUAAAUGGAUAUUGGAAUAAAUUCGUUAUUUUUGUUUGUUUUUGGCGCAGAAAAAGUAUUCUCGAUGGUUGAGCCACUGAAGUCACUUGGACUAUUUUAAACAAUGUCUAUAUGUUUUCUGAUCGAGCAAGUUUAAGCCCCUUGGAAGUCAAUGGAAGACUUAUCCAGCGCUCAGAUUACAUCAUAAAUAUAAUAUUUUGUUAUGCAAUUAUAAAUGAAAGCCAUACGGGGUUAGAACAACACGCAGGUGAGUAAAAACUGAGAUCAUUUUGAUUUUUGGGUGAACUCCUUUAAUGCUUUUAGUUUAAGCUUGCCACUUGUGUUAUUUUGUUUCCCAACAGUCUGUUUGGACUUUAAUAAUGUUUAAAAAAAAUAAAGUGUUUUUUAAGAAAGAGAUGCUUUUUGUUUGUACACAUACCAUUCCUCCUGUAUCCUUUUAAGCUAUAGGUGUUUUCAUUUACAUGAAUUACAUUUACCGGUUAUUUUUAUCAAAUGCAUUACAUCUAACUUUAAAAUGAUUAUUGUAUUAAACGCCUUCAUCAAUGGUGGACAAUUUUAACAUUUACAUUUUAACAGUAUAACUUCAGCAUAAAUGAGGCAGAAAAUGCUACUGAUAACACAGUAAUAGUGUACUUGACUAAAAAAAAAAACCAUUAACAUUUAAAUGUUUUAUAAAAGUACUUUUGACAUAGUUAAAAUACAUUUUUACAAUAAAUUAGUUUCCAUAAAUAUAAUAUGAUUGUAUAUUCUUAUAUUUUAAAGAAUUUAAAGGUGUAUUUAAACAUGUUUUAAAGAUGGGUUCUAUUGCUCUAAGGGGGAAAAAAAAUAAAGCUGAAAUAAUAUUUUAAAAUCAUGUUUUAAGUUCAUCUUAAGUUUGUAUAAAAAUAGCACAGUUGAUAUAUUCUUAUAUUUUAAAUAAUUUAUGUGUAUUUAAAAAUGUAUUAAAGAUUUAAUCUAAAGAUAAAAUUAAAGCUGAAAUAGUAUGUUAAAAGCAUAUUUAAGUUCAUCUUCAGUGUGUCUCAAAAUAGCACAGUUGAGUACACUAAGAUGAUCUUAAGUUUAUAUUAAGAAGUACUAAAGAACAUUUUUUAGUAUAUUAAAUACAAAAUAAGUGCGUGAAAAUAGAGCACUUUAAAUACAUUAUGGAAGUGUAUUAAGUGCACUUAAAUAAAAUGUAUUUUAGUGUACUUUUUUAAUCUAGGAAUACAUUAUAAGUAUAAUUUGUAUAUAAUUACAUAUUAUUAUUAUUAUCAUUUAAAUAGUUUAUUAUUGUAUUUAAAGAUGGUUUCAAUUAUACUAAAACUGGUAACGAAAUACAUUUGUUGAAAAUAUGAAAUAGUAUAUUAAAAAUACACUUUAGUUUAUCUUCAGUGUGUCUCAAAAAAGCACAAUUGAGUACACUAAGAUGAUUUUAAGUUUAUAUUAAGCAGUACUAAAGGUAAGCUUUUAGUAUAUUAAGUGCAAAAUAAGUGUGUCGAAAAUAGAGCACUUUAAGUACAUUAUGGAAGUGUAUUAUGGAAGUGUAAUAAAAUGUAUUUUAGUGCACUUUUUUUAAUCUAGGAAUACAUUCUAAGUAUAAUUUGUAUAUAAUUUAAUAUUAUUAUUAUUAUAAUUUAAAUAGUUUAUUAUUUUAUUUAAAGAUGAUUUCAAUUAUACUUAAAGUGGUAACAAAAUACAUUUUUAAAAAAUAUGAAAUAGUAUAUUAAAAAUACACUUAAAUUCAUCUUCAGUGUGUCUCAAAAAAGCACAAUUGAGUAUACUAAGAUGAUUUUAAGUUUAUAUUAAGC
rnacentral:lncRNA from 1 species